GAUGAACGCUGGCGGCGUGCCUAAUACAUGCAAGUCGAGCGAACAGACGAGGAGCUUGCUCCUCUGACGUUAGCGGCGGACGGGUGAGUAACACGUGGAUAACCUACCUAUAAGACUGGGAUAACUUCGGGAAACCGGAGCUAAUACCGGAUAAUAUAUUGAACCGCAUGGUUCAAUAGUGAAAGACGGUUUUGCUGUCACUUAUAGCUGGAUCCGCGCCGCAUUAGCUAGUUGGUAAGGUAACGGCUUACCAAGGCGACGAUGCGUAGCCGACCUGAGAGGGUGAUCGGCCACACUGGAACUGAGCCGCGGUCCAGACUCCUACGGGAGGCAGCAGUAGGGAAUCUUCCGCAAUGGGCGAAAGCCUGACGGAGCAACGCCGCGUGAGUGAUGAAGGUCUUCGGAUCGUAAAACUCUGUUAUUAGGGAAGAACAAAUGUGUAAGUAACUAUGCACGUCUUGACGGUACCUAAUCAGAAAGCCACGGCUAACUACGUG
rnacentral:rRNA from 1 species